GUGAAUCAUCAAAUUUUUGAACGCAAAUUGCACUCUCCUCGGAGAGUAUGCCUGUUUGAGGGUCAGCCUAAAAAAAAUCGACAUAGUCGCUGUUUUCCGGUGACAUUUGUCGGGAAUUGGGUUAUCUUAAACCUUUGGGGUUUAAGCGGCUUUAAAUUUUCUUUACGAUUCUACGAACGUUUCUAAGAUUUACUUACACGUUUAAUGUAUCGAUUUUUAUUUGAUUUGGCCGUUCCAUUGGAUCACGUCCAUACAUUAUUCAUU
rnacentral:misc_RNA from 1 species